rnacentral:lncRNA from 1 species
ACGAAUAGUUUUGUAUUCAUGUAACAUAUAAGAAACCAAAUGAGAUUGAAGCCAUCGUAACAUGGAUAUGUAAAUGCGGCUCAUUUAUUCGGUCCUUGCAAACCAAGAUGGCUGCUCAUUUUUUUUGUGGCUGUGGCUAACUAGUCAUACCCAUCAACGCUAGUACGAUAUGUGAGAUCUUGUGUUUGGCUGCAUGCAGCCGUAUACAGCCAUAGAUGCUGUCAAGGGCCACCUAGCACUAUUUCUAGGACUUACAAAUUACACCCCCGCC